UACGUAGGGCGCAAGCGUUAUCCGGAAUUAUUGGGCGUAAAGAGCUCGUAGGCGGUUCGUCGCGUCGGCUGUGAAAACCUGAGGCUCAACCUCAGGCCUGCAGUCGAUACGGGCGGACUUGAGUACUGCAGGGGAGACUGGAAUUCCUGGUGUAGCGGUGAAAUGCGCAGAUAUCAGGAGGAACACCGGUGGCGAAGGCGGGUCUCUGGGCAGUAACUGACGCUGAGGAGCGAAAGCGUGGGGAGCGAACAGG
rnacentral:rRNA from 1 species